GGGGGCCCGCACAAGCGGCGGAGCAUGCGGAUUAAUUCGAUGCAACGCGAAGAACCUUACCAAGGCUUGACAUGAACCGGAAAUACCUGGAAACAGGUGCCCCGCUUGCGGUCGGUUUACAGGUGGUGCAUGGUUGUCGUCAGCUCGUGUCGUGAGAUGUUGGGUUAAGUCCCGCAACGAGCGCAACCCUCGUUCUAUGUUGCCAGCGCGUGAUGGCGGGGACUCAUAGGAGACUGCCGGGGUCAACUCGGAGGAAGGUGGGGACGACGUCAAAUCAUCAUGCCCCUUAUGUCUUGGGCUUCACGCAUGCUACAAUGGCCGGUACAAAGGGUUGCGAUACUGUGAGGUGGAGCUAAUCCCAAAAAGCCGGUCUCAGUUCGGAUUGGGGUCUGCAACUCGACCCCAUGAAGUCGGAGUCGCUAGUAAUCGCAGAUCAGCAACGCUGCGGUGAAUACGUUCCCGGGCCUUGUACACACCGCCCGUCAAGUCACGAAAGUUGGUAACACCCGAAGCCGGUGGCCUAACCCCUUGUGGGAGGGAGCUGUCGAAGGUGGGACUGGCGAUUGGGACUAAGUCGUAACAAGGUAACCGUAAGGGC
rnacentral:rRNA from 1 species